CGGGUGAGUAACACGUGAGCAACCUGCCUUUCAGAGGGGGAUAACAGUUGGAAACGACUGCUAAUACCGCAUAACGCUGCGAUGGGGCAUCCCGAUGCAGCCAAAGGAGCAAUCCGCUGAAAGAUGGGCUCGCGGCCGAUUAGCUAGUUGGUGGGGCAACGGCCCACCAAGGCGACGAUCGGUAGCCGGACUGAGAGGUUGAUCGGCCACAUUGGGACUGAGACACGGCCCAAACUCCUACGGGAGGCAGCAG
rnacentral:rRNA from 1 species